rnacentral:rRNA from 1 species
UACGGAGGAUGCGAGCGUUAUCCGGAAUCAUUGGGUUUAAAGGGUGCGUAGGCUGGUAUUUAAGUCAGUGGUGAAAUUUUCGUGCUUAACAUGAGAGCUGCCAUUGAUACUGGAUACCUUAAGUGUAUUUGAUGUGGGCGGAAUGUGUUGUGUAGCGGUGAAAUGCAUAGAUAUGACACAGAACACCGAUAGCGAAGGCAGCUCACAAAGUUACAACUGACGCUGAUGCACGAAAGCGUGGGGAUCAAACAGG